rnacentral:rRNA from 1 species
AUUGAACGCUGGCGGCAUGCUUUACACAUGCAAGUCGAACGGCAGCGCGGACUCCGGUCUGGCGGCGAGUGGCGAACGGGUGAGUAAUAUAUCGGAACGUACCCAGGAGUGGGGGAUAACGUAGCGAAAGUUACGCUAAUACCGCAUACGUGCUAAGGGAGAAAGCGGGGGAUCGCCAGACCUCGUGCCCAUGGAGCGGCCGAUAUCUGAUUAGCUAGUUGGUGGGGUAAAAGCCUACCAAGGCAACGAUCAGUAGCUGGUCUGAGAGGACGACCAGCCACACUGGGGCUGAGACACGGUCCAGACUCCUACGGGAGGCAGCAGUGGGGAAUUUUGGACAAUGGGGGCAACCCUGAUCCAGCAAUGCCGCGUGAGUGAAGAAGGCCCUCGGGUUGUAAAGCUCUUUUGUCAGGGAAGAAAAGGGAUUGGCUAAUAUCCGGUCCUCAUGACGGUACCUGAAGAAUAAGCACCGGCUAACUACGUGCCAGCCGCCGCCGUAA